GUAUGAGCUUUUAUUAUUCAAUCCUUUUUCACACAUUUUAGCUUUGUAUUAUAUUUCCUACAACCAUUUCUGAAGCAUAUGCUGACAGACAGGAGAACUAAUGUUGAUCGAUAUAUAUAUUUAUUGUAUGCAUAUAGACACAUUUCCCUUCCAGUAGAAAAAUACCAUUAAAAUUGUGUGUCACAUUCUUCAGUAAACAUUUUUAACCAGACAUGGAAAGCAGUUAUUAUAUUUGAGUACCACCUUGUGGAUUAGCCCAGUAUUACAUGGGCGUUUUAUUGUAAAGCCAACAACUAAAGUUGUUAACAAUAAUCUACCUUUUGUGUGGCUUUCAAAAUGUGAAAAGUUUCCUGGCAAGUGUAGCCACUACGGUUUUAGAAGGAAAAGCAGGCAAGGCAGGUUGUGCGUUUGCUUUCUGAAAUGGUGUUCACAACCACAAGGAGUUUCGCUUUAGGACCCAAGCACACUUAACUGUGAAUUGCAUUACAGUCUUAAGAGAUAUCAUCUAGGGACAGAACAAUGCCAUGCAUAGACGCUCUCGGGACUGAAACAUGAACACCCACUACCUCAAUGGAAUUAGCUAACAGUAAGUCCUGAUGGCUCUUGUAGUUUGUUGUUGCUCAAAUGCAUGGUUUAAAAGGGAGGUUUGUGCUGUUUACUAUUGGGAACAUCCAGAGGCAUUUGAAUAUUUUAUUAUUGUUGUUGUUGUUGUUGUUAUUUAUACCCCACGUUUUCUCUCCACAAAGAGAGCAAAGAGGCUUUCAUAAAAAGCAUUUCAAUACAGUUUAAAAUCUACAAAUAUACAAACAUUAAAACAGAAUUAAAUAUCAUUGCUUUUUAAAAAUUCAGUUAAAAUCCGUAAAAACAUAUUCAAAACUAAAAACUAUUUCUGGAUUAACACCCACCCUCCAACAAAACAGAACACUUACCUCUAUUGGCAGCCAACUGUGAUUUAAGUUUUGCAGUGAUGUUUGUUAGAAAUGUGAUUUUUUCCU